GCGAGCGUGGCGGAAUCGGCAGACGCGAUGGACUCAAAAUCCAUUGACAGCAAUGUCAUGAGGGUUCGACCCCCUCCGCUCGCA
rnacentral:tRNA from 2 species